CCUUGCUAACUUUGGGAGUGGUGCACUAGUAGUAUCUUUAGCGAGCGCGCCGCCCACCUCAGGAUGGUGCCCCGACUCAUAACCAAACAAAACACCAUUGUUCCCUUCCGCCUACCACCACCCCUCCUUUCUGGCGACCGCCACCUCCGCCACUUCCUCUUCCGUGAUGGCCUUCUCCGCCGACGCUUCCUCCCCUAAGAAGGACCCACCCUCCCCCGCAGUGCUUGCCGCCUCCGCUGCAGCAGAGGCGGCGGCGUCCCGCUGUCAGUCACCUUCUCCGUCACCGUCCCCCUCGCCGGAAAGAUCCGCUUCCCUGCUUCCCCUACCGGCGUCUCUCCCGCCACCGCUGCCCUCCUCCUCCGCCACCCGCCGGCUGGCCGCCCCCAUAUGGACCCACGAGGAGAUCCUUGCCCUCAUCGGCGCCUACCGUGACAAGUGGUACGCCUUGCGUCGCGGCAACCUCCGCGCCUCCCACUGGCAGGAGGUCGCCGACGACGUCGCCGAUCGCUGCCCCUCCGGCCCCUCCCCGCCCAAGACCUACAUACAGUGCCGCCACAAGGUCGAGAAGCUCCGCAAGCGCUACCGCAGCGAGCGCCGCAAGUCCCUCCAGUUCGACACCUCCCUCCCUCCCUCCUCCUGGGUCUACUUCCGCAAGAUGCACGCCACGGAGCACGGUGGCAGCGUAGAAGUAGGCGAACCCCACCGACCGUCCGCCUGCCAAUCCUCGGUCCCGCCCCACCCGCCCUCCUCCGAUGACGAAGAGAAUGACGACUUCGAGCACCGCGGCGCUGGCGGCGGGAGCAACACCCAAAGUCUCCACCACCUCAUGACCAACGGCGGCUGCGCGAUCGGUGAGCUCAGAUUCACGAUCCCCAAGGCAGUCCGGUCCAAGGUCUAUAGAGCUGACGACAGGGUCGCGCCGAACCCUAACGCCGCCACCACCCGCUUCUUCAAGGGUUUCAGCGGCGUGGGGCCCGUGAAGGAGGAGAUGCGGCGCAAGAUGGAGAAGAAGAUGAGGAGGAGGAGGAGGAGGAGGAGGAGGAGGAGGAGGUUGGAGAUGGAGUCGAGUGCGGUCAGGGAAAUGGUGUCGGCGCUGAGAAUGCUGGGUGACGGGUGCCUGAGGAUGGAACAAAGGAAGAUGGAGAUGGCGCGGGAGAUAGAGGAGGAGAGGAUGGAGAUGGAGCUGAAGCGCACGGAGCUUAUCCUCGACUCACAGCGCCGCAUCCUCGAUGCGUUCUUGAAGGGUCUCUCCGGGAAGAAGCGGGCGAAGGUGUCGGCCGAGGAUUGACAAGGUUCCAUUCAUAUCAGAAAGGGGAAUCCACAUCCAUGAUUGAGAUAUGUUGAUGCAGUCUGCCAGCUGAGCUGUUGUUUCUUUAUUUAUUUAACGGUGUAAGGAAAUCACAUAUUCUUUGGAUGCAAGGUUCGUAGAUAUUUUUUGGAUCAAGUUAUUAAAGUGGCUGUCUAGCCAUAUGCAACCUUUUAACCGAGGAAAAGCUAUUGUUGUUAAAGCUCCAUUAGCACGUUGCCAGGUAAUUGAGCUAUAUAUUUAACAAUAUAUGACUUAUUUUCUGGAGUACUCUGUCUCCCUUGCAUUGUUAUGUUUCUUGGUAUGUGCAAAUUUAUUCAUAUGAAUUGUUAAAAUUGCACAUCCAUCUCUGGAGAUAUUGACACCUUCAUCCUCAAACUGAAAUUUUAUAAAUGUCAUGAUAUGCAGGUAUGCAUAUAUGUCCAUGUCCAAACUUUUCAAUGAUAAAUGUGCAACAGAAGUUUGCAGAGCAUUUAUUCUAUUCACCUCUGUAUGUUGUUUCUAUCUUUGUUAUUGGCUCUUGCAUAAAUAUAAAUUUAUGCAUUAAUGACUUGUUGGAAUGUCUAAGAUCUUAAAAAUUGGAUGUUACAUAAUGUCUUGGUGCAACUGAAGGAGUCCAGUUCAGUGAGUACAAUUUGUCUAGGAAGAACUAAAAUUUGUUAUUUGGAUCUUGGACCAACAAAAUGGAUUAAAUCCUAGUAAUAUGUUGUGCAGUGCAAUCAUCAUGAACCAUAAUGGAGGAUCAUAUAAUUUGGGUUUGUGAACAAACUGCCACUAAGGCUUAAAGAUUCUGACAUGCUAACUGCUUUGUCAGCAAAAUAGAAGAAGUUCUAGUUACAUGGUGCAUUGCAUAUCAGGGCAAGGCACCAAAACUUUAUGUUGUUUUCUAGGGCCUUAGAUAACUCAUUAAGCAUUCUAGAAUCAAAUGAUUGGUUUGGAUGAGAAUAUUCAACAUCAUUUUUGGUAGGCAGUGGAUUGAUAGUGAUAACAUGACUGCUAAAGAUGAGUCUAUUUAAUUGAAUUAAUUUAAUUAUUAAAGAUAGUCUUGUGAUUGCUAACACAUGAUAGAAGCCUACUACUGCUGAAUAUUUGAGGUGGAUUUGUUUCUCAACUUAAUGUUUGUGUAAGAAAAGUUAGUCGAUGAUGUUUGAGCAUUCGCUUCUUUCUAAUGUCUAUUAAUUUUCUAUUGGCCUCUAUGGAUUGAUCACAGGUUAUAACAUAAUUGGAGCACUUAUAUGUCUUGAUCUUAUACUAAUUCGGUCAAUACAGAUCUCAUAACAUUUUCUUAUAUAUUUAUCAGUUGCCAAUUAAAAUGAAACAUUUCAUUCUUAUGAAGAUGGACCAGAUUGAUGCUGUUAUAAUUAAAGGCUGGCAAGCAAGGCCCACUUUUUGUUGUGACUAAUUUCAUUUGUUCUGAUUAGUCUUGUGAAGACCGACAGAUAGAUAAGUCGAUUAAUUUAAGUGGAAGCUUCACUCUUAGAAAUUAACUUAUGACCUAUUGUUGGAACAUUCAUCCUUGUGGCUGGUCUUCUUGUUGUUAGUGAAGGCUUAUGGUAUACUUAAGAAGAUUUCACCAACUAGGUUCUUCGUACAGCUUUUAGUUAUAUACUAUAAAGUAAUAGCAUUCGUGCAUCGCUAGCAGAGAAAGGAACACCUUGGGUUGUAAGGGAAUACAAAGGAUGAUGUCUAUAUUAUGUAAAAGAGUUUGCCAUUAAGGAUAUCUGCAAAUAAUACAUUGUUGGAUAAUGCAGUUUUACAGUAAUUUGUAAGUGAUGGUAACGUUCCUCUAUUACUACUUGGGCUUCAUGGGUGUCAAUUAGAAAGUUUCUGAUUCAAGAUUGCAUAUUUUUGUUUUGUUCCUUCCGAACAUGGCUGUGCCAAGAAACUUGUGCAGGGCUGUCUGAAAUGAAGAGUAUAGAAGUGUACUUAAAGUAAAAGGGAGAUCAGUGCAUAAUAAGAAAGCUGAAAAUAUUGGUACUUUAUCUGGAGAGGAAUCUGUAGCUUCUUUUUGGGGUAUAUGCAUGAUUGUUUCAUGAUUCUUAUUUUGAAGAUAUCAACUCUUAUUGACAUGAGACACCAACUGCCAAUUUGUCUGAGAGCCCUCUUCUCAGCUUUGCCAGAGUUAUCUCAUUUGUUAAUAUUUGUUUUUAUCUCGUUUGUUAGUAUUUGUUGCUAGAUGAGUCACAUUGCCCCUUUUGGGUUAAGGAAAUAUAAUGCACUUAGAUGCACACUGUGGUGGUUGUUACUUUGAUUUUCAUGAGAAGGUGGUUUCAUUGUUAAGCCAGCUAAAAGAUACCAGUUUGAGUACCUAAUACAACUUUCUGUAUGUCUUGUUGGGCUUCAUUAGCUGAAGUGUAGUAGUCAGGGCCAUCAAUUUGCUCACUUGAACCAAAUUAUGAGUUACCGUUUCAUUGUUUAUUUGUUUCUCUAAAUCUAAGAUUGCUGUAGCAGUGAUCAUCAUGUUCUGCUGUUAGUCUUGGGAAACCUACAUCUUUUUGUUUCUGAAAAUACUACUCCUGUUUAUGUCUGGGUAAUCUGGGAAGUCAAGAGACCUCAGAUGUUCUUUCUGGCUUAUUCAAAAGCUGGAUUGCUCUUGUUUCAGGGUGUUGCUUUAUCAGAGACUUAGGAAGUGGAUGCCAAGUUGAGGUGGAUCCAAGUGCUUUUAGCUGCUAAAAAGAAUCUUGUUGGCAUUCAGAAUUUAGAUGAUGAUUUGUUCCCUUCAUGUCCUUAAUGAUGAUCUUCUCUGGAUCUUGCUUUUCUGUUGUAUUUCUAUUCAGGUCCUGCCACAGAACUGGAGCAAGUGAUGAUGGGUUCCAUGACGGUCGAACAAUCAUUCGACUUGGUUGCCAAUUCAGAUUCUGGACAUCCAAUGGGAAGUCCACAUGGAAACUUAAUGUAAGCUAUCUAACUUGAUGACUUUUACUCUGAGCACAGCCAUUUGGUUAUUCUGUUUGACAUUUCUUGCUUUGAGGACCACCUGCUGAGGCAGUCAGUGGUCCAGGCAAUAGAUUCAUUGAUUGCUAUAGUUGGAUCAUCACCUGUGAUUACAGAUACUGAAAGCAUGGCAUCCCAUUGACUUACUCGUGCACAUCCAGUUGGAAGUGGAAAUUUCCUCCUUGAUGCUUGGCUUUUUUUUCUUUUUUAUUCUUUCGUGGCCAAUGCAUGGUGGUCCUUGUCAAAUUCAAAUGAUUCCAUGGUCCUGGAGGAAAAUUGGGACCGUCGUUCAAUUGCUGUAGCAUGAAAGUGAUUUAGUUGUUUUUGCUCGUUCAAUCGCUUGAAAACUUUAAUGUAGAUUUACAUGCUUUUAUCUUCCAUCUAUUCAAGCAAUGCAGAUCUUUUUCUGGAGACAUGUUUUGAGAGUAUUCCCAACAUGAAAAGCCGCACAAUCCAACAAAAAUGUGUUCUGCAUGAGAAUUAGGUUGCUUGGCAUGGCAUGGCAUGGCAUUUGAGCCACCCCAAAAGGGCAACAGAGGUCAACAACACUGGCGCGCUACGGCCCCUGUACCUCCAGCUUUCCCUGCUGCGGCGGAGAUGGUUCGCCAUGGUUGCCCUCGGAAGCCCCCCUUUCCAUCUCCAUCUCCUCCGCGUGGAACGUGGAGUGAACGCCAUACAGCGCAUAGAACAAGGUGAUGAAGCAGCUCCACAAGACAAACCUCAGGAAGGACCUCUUCUUGAGGCUAGCCAUGAGGAACACGCUGAGGAAGAUGGAGGCAGCCGCCGGCCACGGCAUCAGCGGAACCGACCACUCCGCCGUGCUGCGGUUGCAUGGGACUUUGCGGUGGAAGAUCCCGGUGAUGGCGAUGGCGGCCGUGCCGAACAUUGCUAGUCCCCACCAGUACCCGCCGUUGAGCUUCCAUGAAAGGGAAAAGCCAAUCGAAGUCGACGUGAGCAGCAGAAGGAAGAGGAGAGUGGGGAGGGGACUGCUGAUGCCGCCGCUGACGCCGAGCUUCACGUAGCGUCGGUAGAUGAGUGCGCCGGCCACCAGGUAGAAUACUAGCAGCGUUCCGAUCGAUAUCAUCUCGAUUACUAUUUCGAGGUCCGUGAAGAGUGCGAUGGACGCUGUACAUAUCCCUGCAUUAUGAAGGAGAAAUCUUCUUAUAUACAUAUAUAUUAUAUUGACAUGACAUAGAUUAGA